rnacentral:lncRNA from 1 species
CAUUUCUUCACCUUUUGCAGAUCUCCUUCAAAAGAACACACAACUUAGUCAGGCAACUGAACAAACAUACUAUGAAUAUUAUUACUCUUUGACCAGAAUGUCUAAUGAAAAGCGAAUGGGAAGACUUCAGUUCAUCCUAUGUAGCUGGCAAAAAAUUAAAUGAAAACACGCUCAGCAAAAUGAUUCCCUGGUGUUCUUCUACCUCCUACCCUAAAUGCAAGGGAGAACUUCCAUCUUCUGUAUACAUCUCCGGGAUUGCAACAGGCAUCUACACAGACAUGGGUGUCUUUCACUUGAGAUAUUUGCUUUAACAUAUAUGUUGUAGAAACACAUAAAAAUGGGAUAGAAAUAACUAACAGGUCUUUUUUUUUUUUUUUUUUUCCCACAAAAUUAUGACAAAUUCUUUGUGGCUGGAUAUUUAUUCUAUGAUUUACCAUUUAUCAACUUUUUUUGCCUAUUUUAUUUCUGGAACUAGGAGAUUAUUUCAAAAUGCUUCCACCUAAUUAGCUCACCUGAGAGAAGCAUGCGGCGAUGACAGAAAUGCCCAAAUGAUGCCCAUGCUACUCUCUCCCUUCUUUGGUGACUAUUAUUUAAUCUCCAGUCUGAUGUUCUCACUCUCUUCCUUUGAAACACCUGUGCUUGUGAGCUAAGAAUAGGUUCCCUAUUCAGUGCUGUCACAAAGCAAAGUAGAACAUCUGGGCUUAUACAUCCCUGCUACCUUCUGGCAAAUGUUGUUCCACACAUGCCCGUUUCACACUUUUGUCUUUCUAGCCUGCUGGGGAUUUUCUGGGAGAUUUUCACUGGCUUGCUCAGGGACAGUGUGUUUGUCGACACUGGAGGGGCAAUGUUUAGUGGCUGAUAACUAGACCAGCUUUCCAGAGAAGGGUGGUUCAGAUUCGUUCCCGAUAUAACUUUGCUGACUCUAAUGGGUUUUUACCAGGGAUGAAUUUGGCCCCAUGUUGUUAGAUGUGUGCGUAUCAGAAACAGAGUCAUUUGCUACAAGCGAAACAGUCAACAUCUUAUUUGCAUCCAUGCAUAUCAACAAUGCAAUUAGGGCAAACUUCUUUGAGAAUUGGAUUCAGAUGGUCUCCAGGCUCCUGCUUCAGCAAUGCCCAGAUGCUCUCAGGGAUUAGCCUAGCUAAAAGGCCUGGAAGAGGAGAAAGGAGCUGCACUUUCUGCACAAAGCCAAUGCCUAUAAAACAGAAGAAAGCAAAGCAUGAUCAGUGUGGUGAGCAGGAGAUAAAACAAGCUCCUUGGCACUGGGCAAUGGCAGAGGAAGUCUGUUUCCUCCCUGAUAGCUAGUCGAACAUUGUUACCCUAAGCUGGGCUGGUUCUCCUCCCACCAGGCUGUUCAUAUACCAUCUGUCCAUGCUGAAAAUUAUCAGGAGCAUUAUGUUUCGUAUUCACUUAUUAAAAGGCUGAAUGCAAACUUUCCAGAGCAUUCAAAGUGUUACAGCUUACUGCACCGGAAACUUUAUACCAUUAUGUCUAGUUAGGCCCCUGAGUCUCUGUUUUAAUGCCUGGAAAUGAGACAAAGUAUAGCCAAGAAAGGGCAAGAAAAAUGUAAAACUUCAAAAUCAGGAUCCACAGGCUUUCCCAGUUUAACUUGUUCUUUCACAUAAAACUAGAAACAGAACAAAUUUAUACUCCUAUUGCGUUUUUAAACCAAGGGCAGGGUAAGAUCUUUCCCACCAGCGUUUUGCCUGUGCUGCCUUUGAGGUGUG